CCCAGAUGAUCCAUUUGACUACGAUACCAUUGAGAUCCCAACUGUGAUGGGUCUCUUGAGGAAUAUUCUUACACAAUAUCCUGAUAAUGGACAAAUAAUUAAGGAACUUGUUCAAAAUGCUGAGGAUGCUGGAGCCACAGCUGUUGAGGUAGUACAUGAUGCCAGAGAGCUGCAGUGUUCAGGGGCUUAGGAUGUUAUUCAGAGAUUUUUAAAGGGACCUGCACUCUGUCUCUUCAAUAAUGCAAAUUUUACCAAGGAAGAUUGGCAUGGUAUACGUAAACUCAGUGACAGCAUCAAAAAAGAUGAUCCUCUGAAAGUUGGACAGUUUGGGCUAGGAUUCAAGUCGG